CGCCAGGGCAGCCAAGCGAGCGCAUGCGUCAUUGCGUGCCCCGCCUCUGGUGCCGCGGGAGCGGAACUAUCCCGCUCUGGCGUCCUGGGGCCUCCAUGACAACGAGGGAAGGGCUGGGGUGGGGCCGAGAAGGGGACUGAAGUGGGAGGCGGCGCCACUGAAGAUGGAAGGCAGCUUUCUUUAUAGACACUUAAUUAAAACUGCUACAGCCUGCUCCGGCGUGCGCUGGGAUGUGGUGAACCCAGCCGACGACGCUAUCUUUCAAUGGGUCUCACAAUGUUGCCCAGGCUGGUCUCGAACUCCUGAAUUCAAGCGAUUUGCCCGCCUCGUCUUCCCAAAGUGCUGGGAUUACAGGCGUGAGCCACCGCGCCCGGCCUCAACGGUUAUUUUGUGAGUUUACCCCAGCGCCACACACCAGCACCUGCACACCGAGAACGCGGUUCCAGCUCUUUUACAAGCGAAGAACAGAGGGCCAGGAAGCUAAUUAAUAAAUGACUUGCUCAAGACAGCACAGCUAGCAAAGGCAGCCUCAUGUGGAGCACAGCCCAGCCUCUUCCCUCCACCCCUGUGAACUGUCUUAGAAAAGGAUUUUGGAUUUAGAAGCCAGAUAAAUGGGUGGAAAUAAAGCAGUGGAAAAAAUAA